AUUGAACUCUGGCGGCAGGUCUAACACAUGCAAGUAGAACGAGUGGCGGACGGGUGAGUAAUGUCUGGGAAACUGCCUGAUGGAGGGGGAUAACUACUGGAAACGGUAGCUCAUACCGCAUACCAUCAGAAGUGCCCAGAUUGGAGUAGCUUGUUGGUGGGGUAACCGCUCACCAAGGCGACGGUCCCUAGCUGGUCUGAGAGGCUGACCAGCCACACUGGAACUGAGGCGCGGUCCAGACCCCUACGUGAGACAGCAGUGGAGAAUGGUGCACAAUGGGCGCAAGCCUGAUGCAGCCCAGCCGCGUAUAUGAAGAAGGACUUCGGAUUGUAAAAUACUUUCAGCAGGGAGGCUAUACCCGCAGGAGCAGCACCGGCUAACUCCGUGCCGGCAGCCGCGGUAAUAC
rnacentral:rRNA from 1 species